rnacentral:rRNA from 1 species
GAUCAUGGCUCAGGACGAACGCUGGCGGCGCGCCUAACACAUGCAAGUCGAACGAGAGAGAAGGAGCUUGCUUCUUCGAUCGAGUGGCGAACGGGUGAGUAACGCGUGAGGAACCUGCCUCAAAGAGGGGGACAACAGCUGGAAACGGCUGCUAAUACCGCAUGACGCAUUCGGAUGGCAUCAUCUGAAUGCCAAAGAUUUAUCGCUGAAAGAUGGCCUCGCG